AGGCGGCCUCGCCUGUUUAACAAAAACAUGGUCUUUUGUUUAUAUAAAAGAUCUAACCUGCCCUAUGAUUUAUUUAAAUGGCUGCAGUAUUUUGACUGUACAAAGGUAGCAUAAUCAUUUGUCUUUUAAUUGAAGGCUUGUAUGAAUGGUUGGAUGAAAAAUAUACUUUCUUUAUUUUAUAUAAAAAAUUUAAUUUUCUAGUCAAAAAGCUAGGAUUUUUUUAUAGGACGAGAAGACCCUAUAGAACUUUAUUUUCUUUUUUUAUAAAUUUUAUAGAUAAAUAUAAGUUUAUAUAUUUUUGUUAAUUUUGUUGGGGUGAUUGAAAAAAUUUUUUAACUUUUUCUAUUUUUUACAUUUAUAUAUGUUUUUUUGAUCCUUUAUUAAGGAAUAUAAGAUUAAGUUACCUUAGGGAUAACAGCGUUAUUUUUUUGGAGAGUUCUUAUCGAUAAAAAAGUUUGCGACCUCGAUGUUGGAUUAAAUUAAGUAAUAGGAGUAGAAUAUUAUUUACUAGGUCUGUUCGACCUUUAAAUUUUUACAUGAUCUGAGUUCAACCGGACGCUCUU
rnacentral:rRNA from 1 species